AUGUUGUUCUUGAACAGAAGCUAACUCCAGGUCGAUCUAAAUACUGCAGUCCAACAAGUGCAAAAAGAGUAGUCAACCUUAACAUAUUAAGGUAUCACAUUUCUAUCCAGGAAUAACAUGUCUUCAUGCAGCUAAUAAGAACUACUUGAAC